rnacentral:rRNA from 1 species
AGUGAACGCUGGCGGCAGGCCUAACACAUGCAAGUCGAACGGCAGCACAGGAGAGCUUGCUCUCUGGGUGGCGAGUGGCGGACGGGUGAGGAAUACAUCGGAAUCUGCCUAUUUGUGGGGGAUAACGUAGGGAAACUUACGCUAAUACCGCAUACGUCCUACGGGAGAAAGUGGGGGACCGCAAGGCCUCACGCAGAUAGAUGAGCCCGAUGUCGGAUUAGCUAGUUGGCGGGGUAAAGGCCCACCAAGGCGACGAUCCGUAGCUGGUCUGAGAGGAUGAUCAGCCACACUGGAACUGAGACACGGUCCAGACUCCUACGGGAGGCAGCAGUGGGGAAUAUUGGACAAUGGGCGCAAGCCUGAUCCAGCCAUGCCGCUGGGUGAAGAA